rnacentral:rRNA from 1 species
AUUGAACGCUGGCGGCAGGCUUAACACAUGCAAGUCGAACGAGUGGCGGACGGGUGAGUAAUGCUUGGGAAUCUAGCUUAUGGAGGGGGAUAACUACGGGACACUGUAGCUAAUACCGCGUACCAUAGGAUGAGCCCAAGUGGGAUUAGGUAGUUGGUGAGGUAAAGGCUCACCAACCCGACGAUCUCUAGCUGGUCUGCUAGGCUGACCAGCCAAAAGGGGACUGGGACACGGCCCAGACUCCUACGGGAGGCAGCAGUGGGGAAUAUUGCGAAAUGGGGGCAACCUGACGCAGCCAUGCCGCGUGAAUGAAGAAGGCCUUCGGGUUGUAAAGUUCUUUCGGUAGCGAGGCGUUAACUACAGAAGAAGCACCGGCUAACUCCGUGCCAGCCGCCGCGGUAAUUC